rnacentral:tRNA from 1 species
AGGGUUGUGGCUCAGUGGUAGAGCACUUGCUUAGCAUGCGAGAGGCACUGGGUUUGAUCCCCAGCACCACAU